GAUGAACGCUGGCGGCGUGCCUAAUACAUGCAAGUCGAGCGAACAGACGAGGAGCUUGCUCCUCUGACGUUAGCGGCGGACGGGUGAGUAACACGUGGAUAACCUACCUAUAAGACUGGGAUAACUUCGGGAAACCGGAGCUAAUACCGGAUAAUAUAUUGAACCGCAUGGUUCAAUAGUGAAAGACGGUUUUGCUGUCACUUAUAGAUGGAUCCGCGCCGCAUUAGCUAGUUGGUAAGGUAACGGCUUACCAAGGCAACGAUGCGUAGCCGACCUGAGAGGGUGAUCGGCCACCCUGGACCUGAGCCACGGUCCAGACUCCUACGGGAGGCAGCAGUAGGGACUCUUCCGCAUUGGGCGAAAGCCUGACGGAGCAACGCCGCGUGAGUGAUGAAGGUCUUCGUAUCGUAAGACUCUGUUAUUAGGGAAGAACAAAUGUGUAAGUUACUAUGCACUUCUUGACGUUACCUAAUCAGAAAGCCACGGCUAACUACGUG
rnacentral:rRNA from 1 species